rnacentral:rRNA from 1 species
AGAGUGAACGCUGGCGGUAGGCCUAACACAUGCAAGUCGAACGGCAGCACGGUAAGAGCUUGCUCUUAUGGGUGGCGAGUGGCGGACGGGUGAGGAAUACAUCGGAAUCUACCUUUUGGUGGGGGAUAACGUAGGGAAACUUACGCUAAUACCGCAUACGCCCUUCGGGGGAAAGCCGGGGACCAGCAAUGGCCUGGUGCUGAUAGAUGAGCCGAUGUCGGAUUAGCUAGUUGGUGAGGUAAUGGCUCACCGAAGGCGACGAUCCGUAGCUGGUCUGAGAGGAUGAUCAGCCGCACGUGGAACUGGAGACACGGUCCAGACCUCCGACGGGAGCAGCGAGGUGGGAAUGUGGACAGU